GGAGGGUUGGCUGAGCGGUCCAAAGCGAGGGGUUGCUAACCCCUUGAGUCUAAAAAACUCGCACAGGUUCAAAUCCUGUACCCUCCG
rnacentral:tRNA from 1 species